rnacentral:rRNA from 1 species
UGGUAGUNCACGCCGUAAACGAUGAGUGCUAGGUGUUAGGCCCUUUCCGGGGCUUAGUGCCGCAGCUAACGCAUUAAGCACUCCGCCUGGGGAGUACGACCGCAAGGUUGAAACUCAAAGGAAUUGACGGGGGCCCGCACAAGCGGUGGAGCAUGUGGUUUAAUUCGAAGCAACGCGAAGAACCUUACCAGGUCUUGACAUCCCGAUGCCCGCUCUAGAGAUAGAGUUUUACUUCGGUACAUCGGUGACAGGUGGUGCAUGGUUGUCGUCAGCUCGUGUCGUGAGAUGUUGGGUUAANNNNNGCAACGAGCGCAACCCUUAUUGUUAGUUGCCAUCAUUUAGUUGGGCACUCUAGCGAGACUGCCGGUAAUAAACCGGAGGAAGAUGGGGAUGACGUCAAAUCAUCAUGCCCCUUAUGACCUGGGCUACACACGUGCUACAAUGGCUGGUACAACGAGUCGCAAGUCGGUGACGGCAAGCUAAUCUCUUAAAGCCAGUCUCAGUUCGGAUUGUAGGCUGCAACUCGCCUACAUGAAGUCGGAAUCGCUAGUAAUCGCGGAUCAGCACGCCGCAGUGAAUACGUUCCCGGGCCU